rnacentral:rRNA from 1 species
UACGUAGGGGGCAAGCGUUGUCCGGAAUCAUUGGGCGUAAAGCGCGCGUAGGCGGCCAGAUUAGUCCGGUGUGAAAGUCAGAGGCUCAACCUUUGAAUGCCGAUGGAUACUGUCGAGCUAGAGUCCGGAAGAGGCGAGUGGAAUUCCUGGUGUAGCGGUGGAAUGCGCAGAUAUCAGGAGGAACACCAAUAGCGAAGGCAGCUCGCUGGGACGGUACUGACGCUGAGACGCGAAAGCGUGGGGAGCGAACAGG